UACGGGGGGGGCAAGCGUUGUUCGGAAUUACUGGGCGUAAAGGGCUCGUAGGCGGCCAACUAAGUCGGAUGUGAAAUCCCCAGGCUUAACCUGGGAACUGCAUUCGAUACUGCCGUGCUUGAGGACUGGAGAGGAGACUGGAAUUUACGGUGUAGCGGUGAAAUGCGUAGAUAUCGUAAGGAAGACCAGUGGCGAAGGCGGGUCUCUGGACAGUUCCUGACGCUGAGGCACGAAGGCCAGGGGAGCAAACGGG
rnacentral:rRNA from 1 species